rnacentral:lncRNA from 1 species
UCGUUGGUAUUAACCGCCAAACAGGUUGAAGGGAUAUCACCAAAGAAGAUGACUCAUCCUCAUUGUCGUCGAUGCAAUUACCACCAGCCUCAUGGAAGAAAUCUUCCCAAUUAGGGCCAGAAGCGAAACCGAAGUUCGCAAGUGGAGCUGCACACAGACGCUCGUCCUUACUCACGUCGAAAACUCCGGUAGUGUGAAGACGGUACUUGAAUUCAUUCUUGGAGAAAAUCAACGAGUAACUCAUUGUUGUUUUGUAUGCACUUGAAGGAGAUGGCCUUUUGUUGGAGAACAUCGCAUGAGAAAUAAAACAAUUCUACGCUCACCAAGAUUAAUCUAUGGAGACUAACAUCUAUGAGAAGGGGAGUGCAUCUACAUACCCUUGUAGAUCACUAAGCGGAAGCGUAUAUAACGUGGUUGAUGUAGUCGUACGUCUGCACGAUUCGAUCACAAUCUGUCUCGAUCUAGCGCCGAACAGACGACACCUCUGCAUUCAGCACAUAUGCGGCUUGAUUAUGUCUCCACCUCCUUGAUCCAGCAAGCUAGGGCGAAGAAGUAGAUGGAAUCUCGACAAGAACGGCGACAUGGUGGAGAUGGUGGUGGAGCAGUGCCGGCUUUGCCAAGUGCCUCCGAAACUAUGAACGAGGAAGAACGGGAGAGACGGGAGGCACAGGGCUGCCUCAAUGGAGAGGACUUGUUGUGUUCAG